rnacentral:lncRNA from 1 species
CGAAUGUCUGCUCACCAGAUUCAUAGAAUUUCAUGUCUUUAUGAAUUUUGGAUAUCAUAGAAUUUUAAUCUCCACUAAUCGGAUUGAGAUCUGAGUUUCAUAUCAUGAUUUCUUUGGAAAGAAAGAAGAGGCUUGAAAUAAAAAGUAGCUGAUGGUUGAAUUGACAAAUAAUUAGACUGUGUGAAAUUAUAAAGAGUAUGAGGUUGAGAUGAACUGACUAGUUUUACUAUUCGAAUUCGAAAGGAUUCCGG